UAUAUAGGUACAAGCCUGUUUUUAUUUGUAGAGCAUUUUCGUAACAUUUGUAAUUUAAUUCUAAUUAUAUAAUUGAUAAAAAACCUAUAAUGACAUCAGAAUUUACUUUAAAAACAUUCUUUAUGUUGUUGAUAUUAAUUUGGAAACUAAAAUAGAUAAUAUUUUCAACCCAUUUAUCACUUAAAUCAUUAGCUAAAUAUCAAAUUCAAGUAUAAACAUAAAAAUCAUACAAAAAACAAAAAUCAGUGUGCUCACACGGUAUUAUAUUGUGAGUACAACAAAAAUGUUAAACAGCAAUUGCAAAACAAAUGUCGGAUGGGGAAUAAGCAAUACAUACAAUGUGGAUGCAGUUUACAUAAAAAAUUUUACAUAUGCCAGCUGUGAAAAACAAAAUUGUUUCUGGCAUAUAUCAAAAAAGGAAGUAAAAUAGGAGUACGACCGUUAUAAAAACUAACUUACUUCAGUUUUUUGUUCAAAAAGGGAUCUUUCUUAUCUUCAUCGUCGAUGGUGGGUAAACACAACGAGGAUAAACCUACUUAAGACUGCAGCUAUCUUCAAGACCACAACGGCUACUUGAACACCUUCAAAUGGCAAACAUCUAAGACCUAUUCACAUCAUCUGGAGCCAACAACAUCCACCUUCAUCCUCCACAGCAAGCAAGUCAACAGUGCCAUAAGUAUCAUUUUAUUGUAAAGCUAUAGGCAGGAUUUGCUUGUAUAUUUAAGUAUCAUUUCAUUAUAUUUUUUAUCCUAAAUAAAUAUGAUUAGUUAA